rnacentral:lncRNA from 1 species
GGUUGGACCAACCAACUGUACCCUUUUCCGUUAUAAGUAGGAAAGAGAGGUGCAUGAUCUCGCGAAUUACUUCUGUAUAAAUUCAUAAAUUAUAUGUAAGAACCAUAGCAUUUCGCGAUUCAUUGGUAAAUUUAUUUUGAUUCUCUAUUAACCAAUAAUGUGGAACUAUUAACAUGGUUAAAACAAACUGUUUGAAGUCUAGACGCAGCAUGGUACUCUUUCUACCACUAUGUUAGAGGUGGUUUCAAAAUAAAUAUUUAUCGAUAUAGGAUACUCAUAUUGAUAAAAUGAUUUAAACCGCUUAUUGUAAAUUGUAAAAACAGGGAUUUUACCCCCUUUAUCUAUUGCUGAAUCGACGACCUAUUCUAAGUAAGAAGAACUUUUUGGAUUUGAAAAAAAAAGAAACAACUUUGCGAAACACCUAAUACUUUAUCUUCCUAUUCAGCACGUCGUAAAAUAUUAUUAAACUAACAGUAGGUCAAUAACUUUUAUGCAACUUGGCAACCUUCAAAUUUAUAUUUGGCCUGUCAUCCCACUGGAACAUAGCCGGAAAACUGUAAAAUGAUACAAAAAAAUAUCCAACUACCAAAUUGAUCGAGCAACGGCACAAUAACUCCUUAGAAACACAUUUAGCUAGAAGUCUAAUCUUUUUUGGAUAUAAACGAAUAACUAUUCUCAUACCUAAAAUAGGUGACCUUUUAGUUUAUAGAAGGCAAUUAAGUUUUGUACAUAAGGUCAAUGUUUUGAAAUGACUGUAUUUUUAGGUCAUAGCACCUUUGAGGUAAUAUCUAAAUUUUAAUUUAAGAACCAAAACUAAAUCGGUCAGCUUUAAUCCGCAACUAAAUUGGUCGGACACGGGUGUGUGUGUCCGAUAACGGUGUGAAUCUAGAGGUCAAAUCCUUCCUGGUCUAGAUAUUAAGAUUUGGGUGUACAAAUCCAGGUGUGGGGAUUCGGCUAAAAAUAAUUCAAUAUAAAAAUAGAGUUAUAUGUCUAAAUUAUGAAACAUUAUGUGGAAUACUUACAAGGUAUUCCAAGGAGAAAAUAUUGAUCAAGAGGAGAAUCCCAAAAAGUGAUACAAGGAGAAGGGCUGACAUGGAAAUUUCUAUAUACAAGGUACUCAAUUUUCUUCAAUUUCACCUUCAUUAUGUUUUGAUUAAAAGUACCUUUCGAGGAGCUUGAAUCUCAAUACUGUUAAUUAAAGUAUAGAUCACGUUCAUAUUGAACAAUAAUCACAUACAUAGACUGAAUGCCUUAUUAAGCUGCAUAUACUAUCACUAGCUCCUACUUGAGAUGCACAUGCCUUACUUAGCAGUUAGCUGCAUCAUACCAUCACUAGCUCUUACUUGACAUGCACUAAGGUCAACUAACAUUUCCUCUUCUGACUUCUCCCGCAUAUAUUUUCGAGAAAAUUACUUAAUUUGGCUGCUCGGAGCAAAAAAAACUACCAAAGGUAGUCUUACAUCCUUUUCUUUGUUGACUAACCUUAAAUCCUUGUUUUGUUACAAAGUGUCUAAUGAUUCGUCUCUAUUUAGUGCUUCUCUUUGUUUUCUACUUCGCUGUGUUUUUCUUCUUUAUACGAUCACUAGUUUUUUCUACUAACAAAUAUUCAUUUUUAGAAAUAAUAGAUCUCAUCUCCACCAUCAAACUCACUUUAUUUAAAUACAAUAUAACUCAACCUUUAUCUUGAUAAUCAUUUUCAAACCAAAUGAUACACCUAUAUAUUUCUACAAAGGCUAAGUUUAGCAUGAAAAGACAAUUUUCCAAAAUAGGAUUUUGUUUCGAGUGGGUAUUUGUUGGAAUAGAUGGGGUACAUCUUUUGGAGUUAAUUUUGUGCAUACAGUAUGGUUGCUUGGAAAGUGAUGCAGAUUGCUAAAACUCAAUUGAAGCUCUCUUAAGCUUGAGUAUGAAAAUUCAGAUUUUUUAAAAUUAGAAUUGUUUCGAGUGGGUGUUGUUGGUAUAGAUUGGGUACAUGUUAAGGAGUUUGAAUAACAAUUUGGGGAUGAUUUGGUAGAGAUGUGAGGUGGUUUGAAUUGAAAUUUGAGUUGCAUUUCGAAGCAAGAAGACGAAGCUUUUGCAUGUAUAACUGUGUAUCGCUUGUGUAUCUCAUACCCAUGUGUAUCGAAUGUAUGUGUAUAUCCAUGAAUACAUGACUUUAAGAUACAUGUGCAGAAUAUGUGAGAUACAUGUGUCGCAAAGAAACUUCUCAACUAUGAAUUAUGACUCCAAACCAGUUCACAACACCUCCAAUCUUCCUCAAAUUUGUAUAUUGCCUUGUCUUUGUGUUCUCAGCAAAUUUCAACCAUACUCUUUAAGAAAAAAUAAAACUCUUAAGUUUUUGACUGUUGUAUAUCAUUGGUUAAUUUUUGUUGACCAAAAAUAAUUAAAUAACAUUUUGUGGUUAAGUGGAUGUGAACUUCUUUAACUUUGGUACAUUCGCCUAAUUCUCUCUAUGUUUUUUCUUUUCUUCAUUAAUCGAGAAAUUCAAACAUGGAUAAGGUAUACACUAUAUUAUUUGCAUUACAUUCUCGAAAACCUUGUAAGAUCAAUGGAUGAAAACACAUGAAAUAGGCAAGAACAGAUAUAGUCAUGUGAAAUAUCAUCUCACAUGCAAAAGUAGGUAGGAAAAUUAGUUGGAAUUGGCUACAUCAAUCCUCAAGACAUCCAUACUUCCUCAAUAUAUCCAUACUUCACAAUUCAAAACUACGCAAAUACAUGAGCAAAUUUUCUGAUCAAGUAACCGUAUACUCUUUAUUCUUCCUUCCACGCCCAAUGUUUGCACCCACCCCCACACUCAAUUCUCGUCGACUUGGAAGUGAACAGUUCACUUUAAAAUCUUUCCUGUGAUACACCUACAGUAUCCUCCAACCCUAAAUACUUCAGUUUAGUAGCAUAAUACAUUUGUUUCUUUGUUAUGGACAAGCAUCCCAUCCCUUAGCAUAGAUAUACAACAAAGUCAACUAGUCAGCACUAGUUCCUGGUCACAAAAUUUUGAUCUAAGGUGUCUAUAUCAACUUCUUUGUCCCCGCAAAAAUGUGGAGGGAGACAUCUCAUCAAGCUGAUGGCUCGUCAAUCCCUUAAUAAGGCACUUCCCGGAAUCUUCUGCCCACAGUCAAUGCCAAUUCAAUUUGCAGUCCAAUCUGAUAGAUGUCAAGAAACUGCACUACAUCCUCACCUAACACGAAUUCUCCAUCAAAGAUCUUAAUCAACCACAAUGAUCCAAAUAAACCUACCGAAAUCACGGGAAAAUGUGGAGUACAUAUCUACUCAGGCUGUCAAUUCAGAAAGGAAUAAUACAGCAGCUUUCAAAUUAUCUUCUUUCGGUCAAGCCAAGUAAACUUCUAGUCCAAUCUAAUAAAAAGUCAAAAUUCAGCAACAUUUGCUCAUCUAAGACGAAUUUUCUCACUAUAGAUGUUAAAUCAACCAAACCCGAUCCAAUAAAAUUCUAAUCAGCAGGAUAGAAUAAAUCCGCAGUCACUAAUAGAAACUAAUAAUCUGGUGACACCUACACCUGUUUAAGAGUAAAAUGCAGAAAAACAGAGAGAAUAAAGAACCUCGACAUGCGAGUAGAGGCCUUGGUAACCGCGAGACUUGAGUAGAGCAUCGAAGGCUUCGUUAUGGCCGUUGUUUUGAUUUGCCGCGUAAGCACCGUUACCGCCGACCCCCGAAUGUCCACCGUUCUCGUCGGAGCAGCAAUUUCCCAUGGCUGCUACUGCCGCCGAUUGCUACAAUUUCAGGAAGCAACAAAUCCAAAUAUCUGUGUGCGCGCAGAAACUUUGGUAAAUAAAUUGAAGUUUACUGUAUGUAAUGGAAACUUUUGAACAGAGAGUUAGAGAGAGAAACGGAAGAAGGGAGAGGGACCCACACUAGCUGCGUCAGUCCAAAAGUUGUAGUAAUAAAAUAAAAGCGCGUUUAUAUAUUGAAAUUAUCUCUAUGUUAAUUGUUAAAAGAGUUCGAAUCUAUUAUCAGAGAAUAUGAUUCAGUCGUUCUUAUCAUAAUUUUUAUUUUUAGAGUUAAAUGAUAAAAAUUUUAAUUAAUAUUUUAAAAAUAUAUUUUUUUAUUAUAUUAAUACGCAAAUGUUUUUCAUAUAGUUUUAAAAUAUUUAAUUUUUUUAUUUAAAAUAUUAAAUUAAUGUGAUUUAAUUUACUUUUAAAAAUUAAUCAAAUUAACUUUCGAUAAGCAUAACAUGAUAAAUAUUUUCGAACGAAAAGAUCUGAUUAAAUUUACUCAAAGUUAUGCUUGUUUUUGUUUUGCUACACGCAACCUUUGGAGAGGCUGCCCAGUGCCCACCAAGUCAAAGAAUGGACCACAAGUUUCUCGAACAAAAACAGCCCCAAUUGAUUAUUACAUUUAAACCAGACACAAACGCUCAACAAGUUUUAACUUUAAGUUCACGUCAAUUGAUUUUCACAAGAGAUUUAACUUCUCUAUUAAUAGUGGAUAAGAAAAUUAUACCGUUUAUUUAUUUUUUAAAAUCUAAAAUAUUAAAAGCCCAACACAGGGUAUAUAUAAGUAGUACUCCUAUGUUAUUUUGUGUUAGGUAUGUUACAGAUGUACAGAAUUUACUCUAAUAUGUACAUGUUAAUACGAGUAUUCUGCUGACCCCAUGUAAUGAUAUAACGAUAAUUAUAUCAAUCACGGCUCAGACUUUUUAAUUGAUUGAACUAACGCUGCCCACUUGCGCAAUCUAAAACUGCAUCUAUUAUUGUCUUUUUAUUUAUAUCUAACAGACUAGCACAGCCACAUAUUCUAAUACUUUGUGUUGGCAGGCAAGAGGUCAACCACUAGAGAUUCCUAUUACCAGACAGAGGAGCAGAAACAAAAUACCAACCUCAAAUCACACCAGAAGAUGAAUAAAGCAAAUUAUAAGUUUACCACUACUAGCCACACAACUGAUAAUAUUAGUUCUUAGACAGAGAGGGCCAGCUUCCUAAAAGUAAUCUACAUUUUGCCUCCAGGGCACAACAGAUGCCUUCAGAAAGAGAGUUGAGACUAUUGGUGAUAUUCUUUUACAUGCAUAUCAUUCCGAUAACAACCUAAUGAUCAAAAGUCUACCCAUAACGUCUUAUAAGGGAACGCUGGUAUGACAUGGAAGAAGUCCCUUCCAGUAUUGCAGCUUCUGAUGAAGCAUAUUGCUGCAGAACAGGAGGACCAUAAGGAGCUGACGGGCCAGAGAAGUAGUUGUCUGUAGCACUACUCUCGUGAGGUGGCAGCAUUCCUCGCUCUACUCCUGAGUACAAUUGGUAAUUCCUGUCAUUUAGCUCCAUGAGAUGUGGCUGCGACACAACCCCACUUCGCAUUGAUUCAUACCUGCGAAUGAGACAAUUUAAGAUCACCCUUCUAUAUUUAUUAAGUUUGAAAAUGGAAUGAUGCACUAAAAAACUGGAAACAGAAGAUCAAUUUAUUUUUUUUUGUUGGUAAUUUACUAUAGACAAACAAAAAUAAUACACCGAAUGACCACCUAACAUCAUAUCCACCUUUCAGGAAGGGGUAAUAUGAUUAAGUAGGCAUCUGACUGAAGACAAAAACUAGAUACAAAACCUUUGAAUCAGUAAUCUGCAUUUAUGAGCUUUCUUAGAUCCCUGCAGAAACUCUAUCCUCUAUGACUCCUUUCUUUAUAUGUGCCACUAACAAACUGAUAUUUCCAUUUACACCUCUACACGGCUUCCAGUUUCUAGUUUGUCAAGUCUGAUAUAUUAUAGCACCCCACACUGGUGCUACCACUUCCUUCUAGAAUACUUGAGACAAACUCUCAAACAUGGGGCUAAUAGUCUAACGUCAACUUAAUACAUGCUAGAAAGUUUCUUUAAUUAAAGCCAGAAGGAUGUCAAACACAAGAAGAUACUUUGAAAAGAGAAAGAACAUCAUUGCUGAAUAGCAAAUAUACACCCAAUUGCUAACAGCAGGAAGCAUUACUAUCUUAAUGUUAAGCAAGCAAUUGAAAACCUCACGUCUUCCGCUCCCACCCCACAGCUUCCAGAACUGAAGGGAAGAGGAUAAAGAAAAGAAAGAAAGCAAAGGACACAAAACCUGUGAUAUGGAUUCCAUAUAUCAGUUGAAAUGCCUUGAGUGACAUAUGAUUGAUGAGAAUAUGCAUUACUGGGAGCAGUCAACUGUUUAGGUUCUCCAACUGUAAGAGCACUCUCCAUGAAGCUCGUGGUUCUAGGCCAUCCACGCUGAGCACUUUGAAGUUCAUAGACUCGUUGAGAUUCCACAAUUGGUGGAGGAUGAACGUGCUGCAUUCUGGUCAUAUAUGGAUUCUCCACAGAAGUGGGCAUCGAGGAAUACUUAGAAUGAUGUUCCAUAUACAAAGCAGGAAUUGUGUUUGGUGGUGGAAGAUUGGCCAAUGAUGAACCCACUUUUGCCUGGGGACAGGACAGCAACUUAACCCGAUCUUCCAUAGCCCAAGCGGGUGUAAUCUUUGGUAUGUCAACAUUAGCAAAAGACUGGCCCACUUUUUCCAGUGGAUGGGCCACCACUGUUGCUGUUACUGACGCAGGUAGGGGACGAAAUAUAGACAAUAAACUCCUCACCUGCAUAUUUUUGAAGGCCCUUAAUGAACAGCAAGCUUUAAAGCAUUUGCAAGACACCAACUAAUGCUAAAUAUAUCAGCACUCCAUAUCUAAGAAAGAAAUCACUUACUUGAUGAUCAUUUAAUUCGGGUUCAAACUUUCUGUCACGAUAAUUGUCCUUUAUAGCGUGUCUGAAAGAGGGUUCUGGCAGGGGAAGACAUUCCUUAAAAAUUCGAAAUUUCACCUGAAUAAGAGCAAUAGUAUCAUGAAUCAUCGUAAAUAAUUGCAAAAGCCAAUUAUGUGGAUGAAGUGAUAAUUGUGAAUCCAAAUAACCUAGAUAUCAAGCAUGUUAAUAAUACCAGAUAAAAACCUAAUAGCUAAAUUAAUACCUUAACAGUCCAUGACCUACUGCAGCAACAAAAGAACCCUAACAGGGGAUGGAUAACCAAGUGGUAAAGACCCUCUACCUCCAUGUACAAGAUUAGUUGUUUGAGUAAACAAGGGAACAAAGUGAGGAAGGACAACAUUUGGCUCCUGAGGGGGCAGUUGUGGUGUAGAGUGACCACAUACAAAAUAAUCAUAAUAAUAAUGUGACAAAUAAAGAAGUCAUGAUAUGCUGUUCAAAAGAAAAAAGGGAAGCUAUGAUAUGUCUCUUACUAAAACAAUACGAAAGAAUCACACAUCGACAACAAUGUCAGGUGUUUAUUGGUCCAAGACUCUAAGAGGUUGUUUGGUUGAUCGUAUCAGUAUAAUUUAUCUCAACAUAAAACCCAGUGUGACUAAUGAGGAUUUGGUUGGCCACAUAAAAAAAUCUCUGCAUUAGUAAUGCAGUGUUUUGUUGGUGGUAAUAAAUAAUAUCUGCAUUAAGUUACACAAGAAUUUACGCAUUAAUUUAUGCAGGAUAAAAUAUGGAACAAGAAUAUGAUAGUAACAGUACAAAGGAUAUUAUCCAAAUACAAAAAUGUCCCUUAAGUAAGUAAUCCUUGUAUAACAAUCCCUUCAUUAUAGUUACUGCUUACAAUUCCUUCAAUAUUAAUCACUGUAUGAUUCAAAAAAUAUAUAUUUUUCAUUACAUAAACAAUAUCUGCAAUUUUUAUAAUACACAUAUAACUAGUGUCCAAAUCAAAUACCUCUAAGUUCAAUGGUCAAUUACAACAUUGAUGUUUGGUCUAAGACAUUAAAUUAUCUACAGAGUAACAUUCAGAAACAAACUAGAAUUAGAAAUGCAUAAUCAUGUAUAAGUUGAGCAAAAGGAAAGAGAUUUGGGAUGUAACAAUUUAGAAAGUAUCUUAGUAAUAUCCCUGUGACUAACAAUAACAAGCUACAAACUUACACUGAAGACACAUAAGAGUAGACAGAAGGAUGUGGAAUAAACUAGCAAUGACUUUCUACUGAUAGUGACAACAUCAUAGAAAUAAAAGCAUCACGUGGCUCAAAGCUUCUAUAUCUUUGGUAUUAUGCACAUAAAAGCCUAAGAACUUGCACAAUGAAAUGGAAAGAUUGGAGAACGGAAAUUCUUCAGCUUGAGGGCUUAAGAGCCAAGCAAAUCAUAAAUGCAAGCAGGAUGAAAUUAAAUCACAUUGAGCCCCACACCCAUUUUCUUACUAUCAUCAUACAUUGAAAAAUCAAGAAGUAAACAGAAUUUUAAAUAACUGACUGCAAACUGGUUUACCUGUGCUGGAAAUUUGCCUCCAAAAGCAAGUGGCUCCAAGUUCAUUAUUCCAGUGGAUGUUGCCUCAUAUACACCAUACAGAAGUUUUGCUUCGAAAUCAAACAGGAAAAGCUUUGCCCCUGGCUUAAUCUUUUUUAUCCUUUCUUGUUUGUUCAAAGGAAGCCCAAACACACGGAAUCUGUAACAAUCAUGUUUUGUAUUUCUACCACACAUGAAUAUAAAACCAGAAAUAUCAUCCUGUCGGUCAGAUUCAUCCUGCAGGACCAAAAAGAACACAUUUCAGAAACUAAGAAAUACAACAGGCUAACCACGUAUAUUUUUUAUGCCAAAAUGAUGCCGAUAAAAAUAUAACAUGCUUUUAUUGUUACAGAAGAGUAAUGAUUUAAAUAAUGAUAGAAGGAAAAAAAAAGUACUUGGGUGUCCUCAGAUGGAUCAAUGUCUACAGCUUCACCAGUAUUUUGCUCAUUGACAAAAGCAGUAGACAAACGAGGCUGGUGCUUGGGUUCAUCCUGCACUUGAGAGACCAGUAUAUGAGGCUCCAUAAUUGGUGGAGCAUGAAAGUGUGGCAUUCUGGUAAUAUAUGGAUCCUGAAAAUAGAUGGGUAAUGACAUGUACUUGACCUGAUGUUCCUUAGCAAAAGCAGGAUUAGUAUUUAGUGGGCAAACAUUGGCCAUUGAUGAACCCACUUCCUGAGGAUACGACAGCGACUUAACCUGAUCUUUCACAGCCAAGGCAGGCAUAAUCUUUGGCAAGCCAACAUUAGCCAAACAUGGUGCCAAUGGAUGGGACACAACUGCUGCUGUUGCUGAUGCAGUCAGGGGACAAAAUAAGGAUAAUAGACUCCUCACCUGUAUAUUUCAAGAUUGUUUUCGAAGAAAAUAAAGUGGUAAAGCAUCGGUAAGUGUGUGAAAUACAUUGAUACUUCAUACUAAGAAAGAAAUCCCUUACUUGAUAAUCAUUUAAUUCGGGUUCAAACUUUCUGCGAUAAUUGUACUUUAUGGCGUGACUGAAAGAAGAUUCUUGCAGGGGAAAACACUCCUUGAAAAUUUGAAAUUUCACCUGAGUGGAUAGACAAGCAACAGAAACAUAAAGCUAGUAUCUAGUUACGCAAACCAAUUAGGUGGAGAGAGUAAUUUCGUCAAAACUUGGACACCACAACAAAUGUGUCGCGAUUAAGCUCAAAAGGAAAGAGAGUUAGCAGUUGAUCCUACCAUAUCAAAAAGGAAGAAGAAGAAGUUGUGCUACCCCGCAUAACACAGCAGUAAAAAACUUUAAAGACUGAAACUAUCUGAAAUAACUAAUUAUCCCUGUGACUACAACCAUGAUAUGAAACAAAUACUCUGACACCACAAAAAUGCAUACAGACAUGUACAAUAAAUUAGCAAUGGCUUCCUACAAUGGGUAUGAGACAGUGACAACUAAACAGAAAUAAAUGCAUCACACGGGCUCUAGAGAAGUAAAGGAACAUAUUAUCCCUCAGAACUUCCGCCUACCAGGAGAAUAUAAUAUCCACAUUGACCGACUAAGCAAUUGCCCCAAUGACCUGGAAAGAUUGGUGAAGAAAAUUCUAGAUGGGUAGAGUUUCUUAGAUAAAAUAACUAAAACAAUUGGAUUAGUUCUUGAAUAAUACACAUACAUGGCAAGCUUCGGGGUAAAAAAAUCUACCAAAUCAUAAAUGCAAGCAGGAUUAGUUCAGAUCACACUAAACCAGAAGGUCCUGAUCUCAUUACCUAAUACAUCAUGAAUCUUUUAAACUAAGACUAAUAACAAUUGGGUAUUUUAUUUAACUGACAAUAAAUAUGAGUGACAAUAAAUAUGAGUUACCUGUGCUGGAAAUUUGCCCCCAAAAGCAUGUGCUUCCAAGUUUAUUCCUCCAGAGGAUGUUGCCUCAUACACCCCAUACAAGAGCCUCAACUCAAUAUCAAAGAGGAACAGCUUUGUUCCAGGUUUAAUCUUUUCUACCAUUUUCUUUUUAUUUGAACCAACCCCCAAAACACGAAAUCUGAAACAAUCAAGUUUUGUCUCUCUAUUGCACAAAAAUAUAUAACCAGAAAGGUCCAUGAAAGCUUCCUCGUCUUUCUCUUUGUCUUGUGAGGCAGCUCUACAAACGGUAGAUGAAGGAUCUGUAGAAGCAACAGAAGCAGAGACUCCCGCUGAGUCAAUAAUAGGGAGAAAAGGUUGAUCUAUCAUACCACUUGGCUUAACCUCUGCAUCCUCCAUUUUCUUCAUAAGUUCAUGUUUUUUAAUUUAAUUGACUGAAAGUUUUCCCCUUCUUUUUCCCCUUCUUGUCUUUCAUCCAACCAUGAGUGAAGUUGCUGCUCUGCAAAGGGAAAAAGCACAGCUUAGAUGUAUGUGCUCCACAAUGAAGAAACAGGGUCAAAUUGAAGAAGCGGGAAUGUAUAAAGAGAAACAAUGAAUCUGCACAAAACAGUAAUGAUGAACCAUAUGCUGGUAUCAGAGAAACAUGACAAGAGUAAAACCUGAAAUCUAGAAAGACAGUGUGGACAAGGAAAAUAUGGAGCAUGAGUCUGGCCUACGGCUUAAGAAAGAACAUACAUCCUGGACAAUUUUAUGUUAUCUGCUAUAGGAAUAUUUUCUCCGACUUUUUCUUUCUUUAGGAUCAGUAAGCAAAACACCCAUUUCUAUGACUUGAAGAUAUCAUUUCUAACAGCAAUGAAGGAUUUUUAUGACAAACAUAAUUUCUGCAACAGAGACGAAAGUCUUAUGUUAAAGUAUAGACUCACAACAAUAAAAAUUUGAAAAGAUCAAUGAAAUCAUAUAGAUCUCAAUAUAGUUUUCAUGUCGUACUUAAAUGCAACAUGCAUUUAUUUUGAAAAUUUAAACUCGAUGAGAUUUAAAUUAUCAUAGUUUAACUACUUGUUUUAUCAAAUGCACCCAAAAUGAUUUAGAUAAUAGAGCAAAGAGUAAGAGAAACUCAGCAUUCAGUUCCUAAUAUUUUGACCCAAAAAAGAAGAAAAUUUCGAAGGAGAAGGUCUAAAACAAAUUUAAACCAUUUGACUGACUAAAAAUUAUUUCAUUAAGGGAAAAAGGAGAAUUAUAAAUUAAAGUUGUUUCUAAUCAUAGAAAAGUAACAUUCUUUGGGAUAGUCCAAAAAAGAAAGUGUGUCUCAUAAAUUGAGAUGGGAAGGAUAAUAUUUUAUGCUUAAAAUAAAAAAAGGAAAAGAAGUCAACAAAAUCCAAAUAAUAACUUUUACAUGGUAAUAUAUGGAUAUAUAUGGAAAAAAUGCAGUAGAAAAAUGUGCCCGAGUGGAAUCAAUCUCACGUCCUUGAGGUGAAAGGAUCAACCUUCACCAGUGGCACCAUGUGCUCUCUUUGUGUUGUGGGUGGCACGUUUAAUAUUUAUAAGAUAUUUAUAUAUAUAUAUAUAUAUAUAUAUAUAUAUAUAUAUAAACAAAAUUUCAACCAAGGUCACAGGGUGUUGUGGCACCCCGUGACUAUACAUAGAUCCGCAAUUUGCUGUUUUUAUCUACAUGAAAGAAAACGGGAAAAGUUGUGCAGAGAGUAAUUUUUACUUUUUACUUCCCUUUCUAAGCUGUGGAAACAAAUUGAUAAACGCACAUGUACAAGAGAUAAAUCAUCCUUAUAGAAGACUAACAAUCCAAAAGGCCAAACUAUUCAAUGAACUAAUGGAAAGAACUACCACAUGAAAACCCUACAAUUGCUUUGCACAUUGAAACGGUACAUAUUUUCUAUCUUAACUUGCAAAGAUAGUUCGACCUCAUUUCUCACUUCCCACAUAGCCUAAAAUAUUGUAUCCCUUCCAUUUACUUCUCUUUAACUGAUAGAAAGAGUAGCCACAUAAAUAACCGCGUAUAGGAAAAAGUUGCUUUAUUUAACAUACGUUUAGAAAUAAAUGCCACCUGAACCUGAAAGGUUAAUUAGACAUUCUAUUUUCUCCCCAUACCUUCCCGCUAAAAAUGAUCUGCACCCAAGGGUUCAAAACUCAACAGAAACAAAAAGCACUAGAUGUUUCUUCUCAUUUGUGCUAAACUUGGUGUACAGAGUUACCUAGUACUUGUUGUUGGUGGAAGAUAACACAUAUCCCUAGAAUUAAUUGAGAUGCGCAAGCUAGACUGGACACCACGUUCAUCAAAAAAAUAAAAUGACUCGUCACCACUCAGGGCUUUAAGUUCUAGUACAGUAGCACCUAGCUCCAUAACAGCACACCAAACAGAGCUAAAAUAAACACAUUGGCUGAAAUAAUCUCCCUUUUUCAUAAUAAACCACACAACUCAUACAUAAAUUCGCACACGGAUGUUGAAACUGAUCAUAACACCUGCCAUUCCUCUACAAAAUCAGUCCCAUCGUAGAACCACCAAUGUCAAGCGAAAAUCUGUUUCUCCAAAAAGAGAAAUAGUAAAUGUUCACACACAUCAGGAUACCCAAAAACACAAACAAACGAAAAACUCUCAAAAUUCUAAACUCAGCUAUAAGUUACAGUCCACAACAAAAAAAUCCAAACAACUAGUAAAACGUUCAUGCAUCAAAAGAUAAACAGAAAAACCCCAUUUCAAUUCCAGGAACCUGUACUUCAGACGGUUACCAAAAAUUCAAACGAGGAAUUGAUAUUCAACCCAAAAAAUCAAGCUGAAUUCUGGGCGAUUAACGGACUAAUGUUACUUGAUAGCGCAAACAAAAAAAAAAUUUAACUUUGAUUUGAAUUCUGCUAUUUUUUCAGUAGAGAACAAAAAAGUAAAAUUCAGGCAUACCAGUGAGCAACUAGCAAUGCUUGUGCGAGUCAAGAGUGAAUGGACUCAGCUCCGUUUUUUCCAAUAAAUUCUUCUAUCGAAAAUGAAUUUUUUUUUUUUACAUGUAUAAUUUUAAAAGCAAUGGUCUGCAUACCAUUGCAAGAAAUAAUUUAGGUAAAAAAAAAAAGUGUCUUAAGUUUGAUGAUAGAUUUAAGAUAGUGUCUAUCUAUACCAUUGGUCUAUUAAAUUCGUUGAAAUUGAUUUAUUAAAUAUUGUUGAAUUUUAUUAAAAAAAAAUGUAAUUAAUUGUUGGGAGUCUUAUAUGGUGAAAAGUAAAUAACGUGAAAGAUUUUGACAUUAUUUGAUAUAUUAAUUUUCUAAAUUUAGCUAACAUUUUUUUAAAACGGGUCUAAUCUACUUUGGAGCUUGAGUCAAUGAAUUUUUAGAUAGAAUUGUUGAGAAACUUCUUUGAUGUUAAGUAUCUGGACAAUGAUUUUAUGAAUAUCACUAUAUCAGUAAUGAAUUUUAGGGAGAGAUCAGAAAAGAUUUCUAGGCAUGUCUGGCAGCAAAAAACUCAACAAGUUUUUUCGUACUAAUAUAACUUUUCAGUAUGACAUUUUCUUCCUCUAAUCCUUAUAAGAGUUAUUGAAUUCAAAUAUAUGAUUGAUUUCCCGAUUUCCUCUAGCGAAAAAGAUAUACAAAUUCAUUGAAUUUCUCCAAUCACUAUUGUUUUUAAGCUAAAUUGAUGAAAUUUCCGUUUAGGCUAAAAAUAUGGGUGGAAUUGGUGGAGUCAUUAGAGACUCAAGGGAAUUGGAUUAUUAGUAUUUACGGAAUGAUUUAUGUUUAUAGUCAUGUAACGGCAGAAUUGUAGACUCUUAAAUAACUUAUCCAAUUCCUAAAGGCAUAUGUCUAUAGUCGUGACUGUAGACAUAAAUUGUAAUUACUAACUCAUUUUCUUUAAGUCUCUAAUCAUGAUUACACCAAUUUCAUUCAUAUAUUUAGCCUGAACAAAAAUUCUAUCGGUAUUUAGCUUAAAAAUAAUAAUGGCCAAAGGAAUUCAAAUUGCAUAUUUUUUCUGCCAGAGCCAAUCGGAAAAAUCAAUUAUAUAUUUGAAUUCAACAGCUUUCAUAAGGAUUAUAGGGAGGGAAAUGUUAUGCUAGGAAGUAUUAGUACGAAAAAAACUUGUUGACUCCUUUACGGUCAAAUGUGCCUAAAAAUUUUUUUUUUGACCUCUCCUUAAAACUCAUCAGUAAUAUUCACAAUAUCAUUGUUUAGAGACUCAAAAUCAAAGAAAUUUUCUUUAUUAAUUUUAUCUAGAAAUUCAAGCUCCAAAGUAAAUUAAGCUCGUUUCAAAUAAUUAAGUUUAAAAUUUUAAUAUUUCAAAUAAACUCAAAUUUUUCCUUGUAAUUUAAUAGACCAGUCUAUCCAGUGUAGACACUAUUUUUUCUUACCUAAAUUAUUUCUUACAAAUUUUUUUGCAAUGAUAUUAAGAGACCAAUGCUUUAAAAAUUAUACAAGAAAAAAAGAAUGUUUUCGAGAAAAACAUUGUUCGGUAAUUGGUACCACCAAACCUGACUAUAUAAAGCAAACUUAGCAAAAACAAAAGGAGAAUUUACGGAAAAAACAAUCUGCGUCCAUUCACUCUAACUCGCACAAGCAUUGCUCGUUGCUCCCUGGUAUGCCUGAAUUAUCCUUCUUUGUUCUCUACUGAAAAAAUAGCAGGAUUCAAAUCAAAGUUAAAUUUAACUUCUUCUUUUUUGUUUGCGCUAUCAAGUAACAUUAGUCCGUUAAUCGCCCAAAAUUCAACUAAAUUAUCAAUUUCUCGUUUGGAUUAUUGGUCCGUCCGAAGUAUAGGUUCCUGGAAUUGAAAUGGGUUUUUUCUGUUUAUCUUUUGAUGCAUGAACAUUUUACUACAUAUAGUUGUUUGGAUUUUUUGUUGUGGACUGUAACUUAUAGCUGAGUUUGGAAUUUUGAGAGUUUUCUGUUUGUUUGUGGCUUUGGGUAUCCUGAUGUGUGUGAACAUUUACAAUUUCUCUUUUUGGAGAAUGGAUUUUCGCUUGACAUUGGUGGUUCAUAUGAUGGGACUGAUUUUGUAGAAGUAGGUGUUAUGAUCAGUUUAAACAUCCGUGUGCAAAUUUAUGUAUGAGUUGUGCGAUUUAUUAUGAAUGCGGAGAUUAUUUCAGCCAAUGUGUCUAUUUUAGCUCCCGUUCGGUGUGCUGUUAUGGAGCUAGGUGCUACUGGACUUGAACCUGAGUGGUGACAAGUAGUAUGAUAGAUCAAGCUUUUCUCCCUAUUAUUGACUCAGCAGGAGUCUCCGCUUCUGUUGCUUCUACAGAUCUUUCAUCUACCGUUUGUAGAGCUGCCUCACAAGACAAAGAGAAAGACGAGGAAGCUUUCAUGGACCUUUCUGGUUAUAUAUUUUUGUGCAAUAGAGAGACAAAACUCGAUUGUUUCAGAUUUCGUGUUUUUGGGGUUGGUUCAAAUAAAAAGGAAAUGGUAGAAAAGAUUAAACCUGGAACAAAGCUCUUCCUCUUUGAUAAUUGAGUUGAGGCUCUUGUAUGGUGUGUACGAGGCAGCAUUCGCUGGAGGAAUAAACUUGGAAGUACAUGCUUUUGGAGGCAAAUUUCCAGCGCAGGUAACUCAUAUUUGUUGUCAGUUAUAUAAAAUACCCAAUUGUUAUUAGUCUUAGUUUAAAAGAGGCAUGAUGUAUUAGGUAAUGAGAUCAGGACCUUUUGGUUUAGUGUGAUAUGAACUAAUCCUGCUUGCAUUUAUGAUUUGCUAGAUUAUUUUACCCCGAAGCUUGCCAUGUAUGUGUAUUAUUCAAGAACUAAUCUAAUUCUUUUAGAUAUUUUAUCUAAGAAACUCUACCUAUCUAGAAUUUUCUUCACCAAUCUUUCCAGGUCAUUGGGGCAAGUGCUUAAUCCGUCAAUGUGGAUAUUAUAUCCUCCUGGUAUGCGGAAGUUCUGACGGAUAAUUAUGUUCUUUUACUUCUCUAGAGUAUGCUUUUUUGUGUUGUCAGAGUGUAUUUGUUUCAUAUCAUGGUUGUAGUCAAAGGGAUAAUUAGUUAUUUCAGAUACUUUCAGGCUUUGAAGUUUUUUAUUACUGUGUUAUGCGGGGUAGCUUGCACACACCUUGACUAUUCCACAACUUCUUCUUCUUCCUUUUUGAUAUGGUAGAAUCAACUGCUAACUCUCUUUCCAUUUGAGCUUGAUUGUGACACAUUUGUUGUGGUGUCCAAGUUACUUGGAUUGACGAAAAUCACUCUCUGCACCUAAUUGAUUUGCAUGACUAGAUACUAGCUUUAUGUUUCUGUUGCUCGUCUGUCCACUCAGUUGAAAUUUCAAAUUUGUAAGAAAUGUCUUCCCCUGCAAGAAUCUUCUUUCAGACACGCCAUAAAGGACAAUUAUCAUAAAGUUUGAACCCGAAUUGAAUAAUUAUCAAGGGAUAUUCUUUCUUAGUUUACAGAAAUAGGCUAAGAAUUCACUUCGAAUGAAGAAAUUGAGAAUAUUGUUUCCUGAUAUCUCAAUUGGUCAAAUUAAAAAUUAAGUGUAUCCUUUCGAUGAAUGACCGAAAGAACCACUUUAAGUAAUGAAUAUUAUUCAGAUUUUGAGACGAAAGAACUGUAUGGAGUAUCAAUGUAUUUCACACACUUAUGUAUUUCACACUUACCAAUGCUUUACCACUUCAUUUCGUAAAAAAAAAUCUUGAAAUAUACAGGUGAGGAGUCUAUUAUCCUACUAUGUCCCCUGAAUGCAUCAGCAAUAGCAGCAGUUGUGUCCCAUCCAUUGGCACCAUGUUUGGCUAAUGUUGGCUAGCCAAAUAUUAUGCCUGCCUUUUGGCUGUGGAUGAUCAGGUUAAGUCGCUGCCGUAUCCUCUGGAAGUGGGUUCAUCAAUGUCAAUGUGGACCUACUAAAUACUAAUCCUGCUUUUGCUAAAGAACAUCAGGUCAAGUAUAUGUCAUUACCUAUCUAUUUUCAGGAUCCAUAUAUUACCAGAAUGCCACACUUUCAUGCUCCACCCAUUAUGGAGCCUCGUAUACUGGUCUCUCAAGUGCAGGAUGAACCCAAGCACGAGCCUUGUUUGUCAACUGCUUUUGUCGAUGAGCAAAAUAUUGGUGAUGCUGUAGAAAUUGAUUCAUGUGAGAACACCCAAGUACUCUUCGUUUUCCUUCUAUCAUUAUUUAAACCAUUACCCUUCUGUAACAAUAAAAGCAUGUUAUAUUUUCAUCGGCAUCAUUUUGGCAUCAAAAGUAUAUGUGGUUAGCCUGUUCUAUUUCUUUGUUUCUGAAAUGUGUUCUUUUUGGUCCAGUAGGAUGAAUCUGACCGACAGGAUGAUAUGUCUGGCUUUAUAUUCAUGUGUGGUAGAAAUAAAAAGCAUGAUUGUUACAGCUUCCAUGUUUUUGGGCUUCCUUUGAACAAACAAGAAAGGAUAGAAAAGAUUAAGCCAGGAGCAUAGCUCUGUAUGGUUAUAUGAGGCAACAUCCAAUGGAAAAAUAAAGUUGGAACCACUUGCUUUUGGGGGCAAAUUUCCAACACAGGUAAAUCAGUUUGCUGUCAUUUAAAAUUCUGUCCACAAAACAACAUCUUUAGAGUCUUGGACCAGUUAAACACCUGACAUUGCUGUUGAUGAGUGAUUCUUUUCGUAUCGUUUUAGUAAGAGACAUAUCAUAGCUUCCCUUUUUUCUUUUGGACAGCAUAUCAUGGCUUCUUUAUUUGUCACAUAUUAUUAUUAUGAUUAUUUUGUAUGUGAUCACUCUACCCCAAAGCUGCCCUCUCAGGAGCCAACUGUUGUCCUUCCUCACUUUGUUCCCUUGGUUACUCAAACAGAAUUUGCAUAUACUUUCCUUGUUUGUAUAUUGACAAGCAAAAUAUAUGAAUAUACAAGCAAAAUAUACAGACGCAGCCUCCAUUUGUAUAUGCUUACCCUGUCAAGCGAAAUACACAGACUGCAACCUCCAAUUACCAAAACUAUAGUUGUAAAGCCUUAUUAUAUAUGAUAUCUUUGCUGUUUGUGAAAUUUUCUCAAUUUUAGUUAAUCAUUCAUCCAAACAAACUGAUAUUUUAUGGACAAAGUUAAGUCAGCCCACCAUUUCAAUGGGCCUCAAAACAAUCAAUCCAACCCAUCCAUACAUGGGUCGCGAGCUAGCACAGACCUGCCCACCAUUUCUUAAUAUUUCUAGCCUAAUUUUACCCAAAAAAAAAAAACAAACAUAAAUAUACACUUCUUCCGUCCCAUAUAGUUUAUCAUUAUACUAAAUAUCAUUAUUUCAUAUUCGUUGAUCACCUUAUUAAAUCAAGAAAUUAUGAAUUAAUUUUUUUUAUUGUCCUUGUAAUUAGUUUUUUUUUAAGUGUUUACAUCUGUAUGUAAGAUUCCUAACAAGUUUUUAAAGGACGAAUUAGUAAAAUCAUCUUCAUUUCUUAAGCACAGUAUAAAAAUGAAUAGUAAUCAAUUAAUAUGAGACUCACGAUGUAUAAGGUAACAUUACAUUGUGUUAUUAAUCAUGUCUUAAAGUUCAUUAUUAAAUCAUUCCAAUAAUAUAAAAAGGUAGAUGCGUGAGAAAGAAUUAUUUUUUUUAGCAGUUUGAAAAAUAUUAAUUUGUUAAGUACUUAUAUUAUCAUUUUCUCUAACUUAAUUUUGAUUUAAAAUUUAAGACUUCAUUUUUGGGACUUUUUAUUGUAAUGAGCCAAGUACAAUUUCAGUUUAAACACCUUUCUUUUUGUUAUUUUUCUACUUUAAAAAAAAUCAAGUUUUAUCGGUCAAAGAAUUUAUUUGAAGUGUCAAAGAAGUCUUAUUCUUAAAUAGGCUAAUAAUAUAUAUAUAUAUAUAUAUAUAUAUAUAUCAGAACCAGAAGUCCAAACUCACUUUAACAAUUCUAGUAAUUGAGUUUUGUACAAAAUUUGAGAAAAUUACAUGUCUUAUGUUUAUUAAAUUUUAAAUAUUGACAAUCUCAAAAUUUCUUAAGUGAAAUAACAGUGAUGUUACCUUCACCAUAUGAGUUGUUAAUCACUCUCUUUACUAAUUUUGAAGAGGGUGUCUUACAUGUUUGUCCCUUAUUAUUAAACUUUUAUAUACUAAAAAGUGGAGUAAUAAAAUAGGAAAUGCUAAAAUUAACAAUAGUAGUUUUAUCAUUUAUAAUUAUUCACUAAAUAACUAAAUAUAAACUAUGAAGAAGAACAUUAAAUAGAUGAUAUAUCUAUUAUUAAUUCUUCAUGUGCAGUUUCUUAUUCUCUUCUCUUUCCAUGUUGAAUAAUACAAUUUGCUUCCUUAUGAUAACAUCGAUAUUUAUAAAUUGGUUUUUAAAAAGCAUAUUAAAAUUUUAAUUCUCAAAGUAAUUUACAUAAACAGUGGAGAAUGACUCUUCAUAUUCAACUUUUAAUUUUAAAAUUAUGAGUAUAAAAAAUAAUUACAUUUAAAUAAUUAGGUAGAAGAAAUAAAAUAAUAUCUCUAAGGCGAAAGUAGACAUUCUAAUUUGGACAAUUAUUACUUAACUAUUUAUGGUUCUAGCUUUAGUCAAUAAUCUAUAGAUUAGAGUUUGACAAUUUUCCAGCCAUAGUUAGAAAUUUACAUUAACAACAAAUAGCUUAUUAUCACAGUAUAUAGACGUUUGAUGCAUACAAUUUAUAAGUUCUAAAAGAUUUCAUCAAUACGGUACAUAUGCAAAUUUAUGAUAUAAAUACUUGAUAUAGUACAAAAUACACUUGCAGCUAUCACCAUAAUUAAUAUGUCAAUUAUUCUUAUUAUUAUAUCACAUAUACACCUUAGAAAAGUAUUGUACACAUAAUUUACGAAGAGUAACGAAUAAUACUCCUUUUUUUCAUAAAAUUUCUCUUUGAAUAUAUAAUAUAUCAAUAAAGUAAUACAAACUUUUCAAAAUAACUUAUUCUAAAUAUAUGAUCAAUUUGAGGAAUGAAUAUUUCAACACAACAUAUAAACAAAAAGUAAAAUAAAAAAAUUGCCUCAAAAUCACAUAUAUACUAUAUAGAGUAUGAACCAUCAUUAAUCUCUGAUUCGGCGUCCCAUUUUAUUUUAGGAUAUGGAUUCUUCUUCUUUUUAAAAAAUAAAAUAAAAUCAUAUUUAUUUCUUAUUUAGUUAUUCCUUUCUCUACUCAUAAAUAAUAAUUUCGAAAAUGUAUCUAUACUAAAAUAGUACACUCUAUCAAGAACCAAAUAAGCAUGUCAAAUUAACUGAUUAAUCUUUCAUGAUGAAUUUCAUCCAUAAUUAAGAAACUUAGUAGAGCAUGAAUUGUGUAUCACUAAUUUCUUCACGCAAGACAUAAUAUAUUUCAAUAGAAAAAUAAAAUCAUAAGCUAGUAUAUCAAAUUAUUUUUAGGGACACAUAAAAUUCUUAGACCGAAUAAGAAGGAGUGGAUAAAAAUAAAAGAAAAUUACUGCACAUACAAAAUAAAGACCAAAAAUUAUUUUUGCAGGAUAAUUUCUCAUCCUCCUCUUAUCAUUUACAUGAUGACCAUGCUAGGCAUUUUAUAUCAGUAGUUAGGAUGACCUUUGAGUAGAUAAAAUUAUUGUGCAUUAAAUUAUCAAGUACUCUUGAUUUUUACGGCAAAAGAGUAACUAAUUAUCAAUGUGAAUUUGAUUCAUGCACCAAUUUAAAUGAGUUAUUUAUUAAAUAUUUAAUUAAGUUUUAUAAUAUUUGUUUUAAUUAUUUAAAUAUAGAGUAAAAUGAUAAUUCAACUUUGAGUUUUAAAUUUUUCUACUUAUAAUAUAUAUAUAUAUAUAUAUAUAUGAUGAUGAUGAUAUGAUGAUCAUGUUAACUUCUUAUAUUGAAACAUUACAUACUAAUGUAUAUUAACCAAUAAAAUAAUUACUAAUUAUUACUAAAAUUAUUCUCCUCAAGUACUCAAGGUUAUGAUAUAUACCCUCUUACGAUAGAACAACUUACUUCUUAGAAUGGUGACACAUCUCAUAUUCGCUAAACUUCUAAUUCCUUCAACAACAAUAAAUCACGCAAAAAAUUAUGAAAUGCAAGAAUAAGAAGAGUAGAAGAUUGAAAAAUGAGAGGAAAUCCCUUUAUUUAUAGUCAGGUAAUAUGAACAAAUAUUUUCCGUGUUUUAUCUGAAAUGUCAUGACCUUUUCGAGAAGUCACAAUCCUCUUUAAAAGUCAUAGCUUAUUAAAAAAUUCACAACUCAUUAAAAAUGUCACAACCUAAAUUAGAAAUAUUAUAGUAAUUUAACAUUCAAAUUGAAAGUUCAUAUUUUCAAAGUAAUAUAAAUAUUGAUAGAUUUAGUCAUUUAGCUAUAACUAUAAUUAACUUCUUUUUUUUUUUACCUAAAGUAAAUUUAUGUGUAAUUUUAUUAUUAUAAUAAGUUCAUAUGUUUUUGUCGGAAAUAAUUUGAAUUGCAGCAAAUUUGUGAACUUAAUAAAAGAAUUUUUUCUGGAAUUAUCAGUACACAAAAUUCAAAUGGCAUCCAACGCAAAAGAUACAACCUUUUCCAUUUGCCCCAUAAAAGUUAGCAAAAAUAAAGAAAGAAAGCAAGGGGAAAAUAACAAAAGAUGUUGAAUACGACAUAGUACUGACAUCGGAUAAAACCCUACUCGCUUUCUCCGUUUUAAAAUAAGUGUUUAUUUUAUUUAUUAUAAUAAAAAAAAUAUCAUCUUAAAUAUUUAACAAAAGAAUACCCCAGAGCAAUAUAAUAAAACUGACUAAUCUAUUAAUAAUUUUUAAUCACGUUAUAAAAUAAAAAAAAAAGGAAAUUUAUAAAAAUAUACUAUAAUAAAAAAAUAUUUACCAUUUAUAACAAUUACAAUUUUUUCACUUGAUCACUUUUAAUUUAUUUAUAAUACAAGUUUAAUAUAUGUUAUAAAGAUAAAUUUAUUAUUCAAAUAUAAUAUAAGUUUUAAUGAUGGAUUAAUACAUUUAUCAUACAUUUUAAUACACUUAUAAUAUAAUGUGAUAAUUUUUUGCCAAACAAAUAAUAUAUAUUUCAAAAAUAAUUAUAAUUCAAAUAUAUUACAUACAUAAUUUACUUCUAAUACAUAUUAAAGAUUUAUCACAAUAUUACUAUAAAUGGUAAUAAAUUAAAAAUAUCGCUAAAAUCGGUAAUUAUUUUUUAAAAUAUAAAUGUGAUCUAAAAUGGUGCCGAAUAGUUUCCUAGUAGACGUGCUUUUUAACCUUAUUUUUAACAAUUAUCAACACUUAGCUUUGUCAGCACCCAAGUCAAUCCUAAGCAAAGAACCCAUCAUAUAAAAAUCAUUAACACAUUACUUAUCGAAGACUUCACAAAUCUUGAUUUUUGAAUACGACCCUUUAGUAUUAAGUUUUCCAAUUAAUCUUGUAGGUCCAUUGGCUUUGAUUCCCUUUCUUGAUUUAUCUACAAAAAUUUAGGCUAUUUAUAGAGAUUUGGGGUUUAUGGUUUAGUACAUUCUCUUUCAGUGAACACUCUCAGCAAUUGUGGAAAUGAAAAAUAUGGGGAAGUUUGAAAUUUGGUUCUUGAUUUUGAUGGUUUGUGGGUUGUGGGUAGUGGAAGCUAAGUAUAUGGUUUACAAUACAUCACAGGGAAUUGUUUCAGGGAAGCUUAACGUUCAUUUGGUUCCUCACACUCACGAUGAUGUUGGCUGGUUGAAAACGGUCGAUCAGUACUAUGUUGGUUCCAACAAUUCCAUUCAGGUACCUGUUUGUUCAUCGUAGUGUGAUAAAUUGUUGUGAGUUAGUAUGUUGAGAUUUUGGUGAGUAACUAGUUCGUGUGUUUUAAUUUGUCUGUCUAUUUUUGGCUUGACGUAGAGUUUAACAAGUAAAAGAUUUGUUUUUGCAUAUUGUUGUCUUAAACGGAAGAUGUGUUGAGUGUAUCGAAAUACCUAUGCUAUGUGGCAAUUUAGAAUUAAAGAGCAUAGCAAUUUAGAAUUAAAGAGUUGACAAAGAAGUAAAGAUGCAUUCUUUCUGAUUGGACUAAAAAGGAAAGCAAUGCAAACGAAUUGAAACGGAGUGAGUAAUACAUUAUAUAAGUUGCAGUAUAACUGUAAAAGUAAUUUCCACUUUCGAUGGAUAUAGACAACAGUUCAGGUGCUCAUUCAUCUUAAAUUCAUUAGUCAUGGUUAUAAAAUAGAAUUGUAAUGUGGCAGGUGGCUUGUGUUCAAAAUGUCUUGGAUUCAUUGAUUCCAGCAUUAUUGGCUGAUAAAAACAGAAAGUUCAUUUAUGUUGAACAGGUAAGUCUUGACUAUCACCUUUUUCUCAGUGUGUGUUAAUGUUUGUGUAUCUCUGGGAUAUACUACUGAUGAAUGCUUGGUUUUUUCCCUUCCGCACUGGAAUGUAGGCUUUUUUCCAGCGUUGGUGGAGGAAUCAGAGCCCGGGAAUGCAGAGCACAGUCAAACAGCUCGUCAACUCGGGUCAACUUGAGUUCAUGUAUGGCUAAAACCACACAUUUGUAAAGAAAAAAAUAUCAAAAGAGAGAUUAUAGUACUGUGGACAAAAGUUGCUUUGCACUCCAGAUAAUCUUGAUGUUUUGUGUGAUUUUACAUAUACAUUUUUUCUCUUUCUUUUCCUGGAGGUGUAGGAUAGUGGGUGGAUUACUUCUUCUUUGUCAGAAUGCUUAUACAAAUGGUAUCUUAUUCACUAUUUAUGCAGAAAUGGAGGUUGGUGCAUGCAUGAUGAGGCAGCAACACAUUAUAUUGACAUGAUAGAUCAGACAACUCUAGGGCAUAAAUACAUCAAACAACAGUUCAAUGUUACUCCUAGAAUUGGCUGGCAAAUCGACCCUUUUGGACAUUCUGCUGUUCAGGCAUACCUUCUGGGAGCAGAGGUGCCAAUCUGCAUUACAGUUUUAAAUUGGAAAUUUGAAUAGUAACUCUUGUGCUUCAUUAAUUGAUAAGUAGUCCGCCUUUGAAAUAUAAGCAAUUUCCCAACACUCUGCUGAAAAAUGGUGUAACUAAAAUCCAAGUACAUUUAAACAACUCUUUUGACCUCAUAUAUUUUACUGCUUUAGGUUGGAUUCGACUCUCUUUUCUUUGGACGCAUUGACUACCAAGACAGAGAAAAGAGGAAAAUUGAGAAGAGCCUUGAGGUCAUUUGGAGGGGUUCUAAGAGUCUCAGUUCAUCCACGCAAGUAAGCCUUUCUUUCAAAUAUUUAUAAGUUGUAAUACAUGUUUAAUAUUAUUCCUCUUUCUUAUUUGAUAUUUUUAUUUAUAAAUCUCUUGUCUCUAGAUUUUAUUCAGCGACUGACUAUUACCUUUUGUUUCAUACCAGAUAUUUUCAGGUGCAUUCCCUCAGAAUUAUGAACCUCCCAGCAAAUUUUACUUUGAAGUGAAUGAUGAUAAUUCUCUUCCUGUUCAGGUAAAUCUUUGAUAGAUUAAGACAGUAGGCUCUUUAACUUUAAGCAAGGGCAUGCACGUGAUGUGUUUCUUUAUUGACUGAAGGAUGAUGUCAACCUGUUUGACUACAAUGUCCAAGAGCGGGUCAAUGACUUUGUUGCUGCUGCUUUGUCCCAAGUAAGUUAUACUCUCGGACCAUGUUAUACGAGGUGUCAGUAUGAGUGUGAAUUGCUCCUCCCAAAUAGUCUGCUUUCAUCUUAUUUGAUAGCAAUCAAGUUGAGCCUGAGGGUAGCAAGGGUGUCGUGACAUGCUUAAUGCAUCUUACUGCAUUUUUGACUCGUUUUAACUCUGUUAGUGAGAAUACAACCUAGUUGCUUGGCUGCUACUCUUUAUUAUAUUUCUGUCGGUAAAAAAGUCAACAAUCUCAACUGACAAGCCAACAUUCAACUGUAGUUGGAAUUAUGUGUCAGACUGCAAGACUUUAUAAAGAUUUGUCCAACGAAAAAGUUCACAGUAAAGACUUAAGGAGAUUGCAAGAUUACUCCUUAAUGCCACACUGCCAAUCUUGUUUGUAGACUCUCCAAGGAGUUUCAUGCACCUAACUUUUGUUGUUUCCCUUGCAGGCCAAUAUCACUCGCACAAAUCAUAUAAUGUGGACCAUGGGAACCGACUUCAAGUACCAAUAUGCUCAUACAUGGUUUCGGAAUAUGGACAAGCUCAUUCACUACGUAAACCAAGUGAGUUUUCUACCGUCAUUGCUGUAACUCAAAAUUUAGACAAUCACAUACAACUAUGU